ACUGAAAUAGCUCAGUUGGUAGAGCAUCAGAAAAUAAAUCGAAAGGUCCUUGGUUCGAUCCCCGGUUCCGGCA
rnacentral:tRNA from 1 species